CAUGCAAGAAUACCAUCAAUAUUAGAACAACUGAGUCCUCUUCUCGUGAUUGCUGCAGUAAGAAUAACAUUUCUGAUAAUUUCUUUAAGGCAAGAACAAAAUAGUAUUUAAAAAAAUUUUAAAGAGAUUUUUAAUGUCUUUUCUAAGUUAUUUAUAGUUGUGCCAUGUAUGUAUAUACUUAAUAAUGAAUUCAAAGUGACUGAGAAAUCAGAAAUUUUCAAUGAUCAAUUUGUGUUUAAGUAGAAUAAUAAAAUAGUUCCAAACAUUUACAGUAAAAUAGAAAAACAUGGAAACAUUUUCUUCAUUACUUUGCAUGAUACUAUAAAUUAAAUGUGGAGUAUCAUCACUUAAAACUUAAAUUUGGGAGCACUUUUCGCAAUAUUACAAGUUCGUCUGAUUAAAGCCCCCCAGUGAUACAGCGGACUUAUAACGCUAGAAUCCGGGUUUCGAUACCCAUGGUGGGUAUAGUACAGAUAGUUGAUCUAAUAUGACCAUAGAAUGUUUCUUCAUUAAAAAAGAACUGUAAAAACAUAUUAUGCAAUUGAAAUUCAUAAAUUACAUGACUAUUCGCAUCGUGCUGGAAUUUUGGACAGUAUAACUUUUGACCUUUUCUCUUAUAGUCUGCCAAUGCAUUACAUUACUAGAGAGAAGUUCUCGACUUUGGCAAGUUCUAAGAAACAUCUACAUUUAGCAGAUUUCUAAUCCUGGUUCAGACGUAUUGUAAAAGAUGAUUGUUUUGACGAUUGAUUUGUCAAUGAAACAUAAAAGCUGAAGUCGAUCUGCAUGAUGUUUCCAGCCUAUUCCGAUAUUCUUUCCUAGGGUUUGGACCACACCUAUGUAAGGAGAUAAGGAAAACAGUUUGAUAGUUUGAAUCAGCAGCCUCAUGUCAAAACUAGUUAACUGGAAACGAAGAAGGUGACGAGGAAGAAUAUUUUGUACGUUUGAAUGAAAACAGGAGAAUACAAACUGAAAAUCAUCCCUAACCGAAACUUGUGCAUUGAAAUAAAAACAAAAAUAUAUCCAAACAGUCCUGGUUACAUUUUUCUGUAAAGCAGGGUAGGAUCAAGGUUCAAAGUUGAG